CUAAUGGAGUGCACAACCGGUCAGCAAGAGACCAAAAGGGAGCCGAAAAAAUGACACAAUCAGGGAGUAUAUUAUGUUUACUGUCGAAAAUAAGACUGUAUUUUGAGAAACAGAGGAAAGGGCCGAGGUAGGGGAUAACUCUGCUCCCGGAAUCAUGACAGACGAGCUUCUGGCAUUUUCACCGGGGACGCACUUUCAUAAGUUGCGCUGUUAUUUCAGUACCGUCGUCAUCGUUACACAAGAUAAAGCGGACAUGGGUGACGUUCCUAUGAUCUGAACAUGGAGGUUCAGUUGCAGAGAGGAAGAUCGUGGAACCAAACGUCCUACAGUCUACUGCCAAUGGUCAUAUGUUAGCCCUGACCUGUGGUCUCUCCUUGACCUGCCACAGAGUUCCACUUCCCUUCCUCCCAUCACCGUGGGAGACCCGGCUUGAUUGACAGCUUUAAAGAGUGCAGCCACCUAUGGCUGGGGUGGUAGUGACGGCCAUGACAGCAGCACUUGCUACACACCUGGAUGAGCAACGAAGAAGAUGAGAUGGAUUUGGAUUUGCAUGAUGGUUGCUAGGUACUCGUCACAAAUCCCCCUUUUUUAGCUGUGAGACACUGAGAUUCUAGAGAUGAGGAUCACUUUUCCCGUGGUGCCAUCAUUGUGUUUAAAUGCACGUGUGUGUGUGUGUGUGUGUGUGUGUGUGUGUGUGUGUGUGUGUGUGUGUGUGUGUGUGUGUGUGUGUUUAUAUUUCUGCUUCUCACUGGUGUAAGUAUGUGGGUACAUUUGUGUAUUAGUAGUACAGCAUGUGGGUAUGUUUAUGUGGUUGUGUGUGUUGUUGUGGUGUAGUUUCUGCAUGUGUAACUUGUCAGGACUUUUACGGGCUUUUCCCAAAUCACGAAAGUAACGUCGACGCAGCGGUGUAGUAGCAGAUAGUAGCAUC